CUGUGGAAUUGAAGGAGGAAAAUUAAAUCAAAACCUCAAUAAACAAAAACAAAACUACGAUCAAACUAUUAUCGCCUGUCAGGGGAAUUUUGCCUAGCGGCCAGGUAAAGGUUAUCAUUUGGUUAAACUGACUUUUGAAUCAGAUCUGCUGACAGAAUGAAAUGUUGAAAUGUGUCAAAUUAGCUAAAGUGUGGACACCUGCCCAGGUUGCCAGAGGGCGGAGUUCCCAAGCUGAUUCCAAUGACUUCAUCAGUGCGAUGAUUGGUCAGCUCAUGAAACGACACUUUAAAAGGACCACUGUCUUUGCAGCAGUCAUGAAUCUGAAAUAAUAGAUUAUUUUUGUAUUUGCUGCACACCGCUUACAGACUGUUUGGUUUCAGUUUUACAACAAAAAUGGGUUUUGGAUUGUGUGUGAGAGUUCUUGUGAUCUCACUCUUGACUUUUGGGCAGCAAGCAAAGGCACUCAGCUACAGAAGUGGAGGCUCCAGUGGCAUUACACCUCACUUUGAUUUUUCAAGAAGCCUUAAACCCUCUUCCACUUCCAGUGAUGAUAGUUCAGCACAGCCUGAGAGGGUUUUGGGUAGUUAUUCACCCUUUCAUGCUGAUGGGGCUUUAUCUGAGACUCUGAAGCCAGCUGCUGCACCAAGUGCAGGAGGUUAUAGUGGCUCUCAUGGAAGGCAAGUAGGUGGUUACAGUCCUGAGGGAAGUGUUUCUAGUUACGGGCCAAGCCAACCAAUAAUUCGUAAGCCAAACCAACUACCUCAAGCUAACCCUAGUGCAAAUGGUGUCCUUCCAAGCAAAGCUGCCCCAUGGGCUUUC